rnacentral:rRNA from 1 species
GACGAACGCUGGCGGCGUGCCUAACACAUGCAAGUCGAGCGGGGAUUUAAGUGGAAGUUCUUCGGAAUGGAGAUUUAAAUUCUAGCGGCGGACGGGUGAGUAACGCGUGAACAAUCUGUCCCGGACAGGGGGAUAACACUUGGAAACAGGUGCUAAUACCGCAUAAGACCACGGCCUCGCAUGGGGCUGAGGUAAAAGGAGCAAUCCGGUUCGGGGUGAGUUCGCGUCCGAUUAGCUAGUUGGUGAGGUAACGGCCCACCAAGGCGACGAUAGGUAGCCGGCCGGAGAGGGUACACGGCCACAUUGGAACUGGGAGGCGGUCGAAACUACUACGGGAGGCAGCAGUGGGGAAUAUUGGGGAAUGGGCGAAAGAGUGACGCAGCAACGCCGCGUGAGGGAAGAAGGUUUUCGGAUUGUAAACCUCUGUCCUAUGGGACGAAGGAAGUGACGGUACCAUAGGAGGAAGCCCCGGCUAACUACGUG